GGGCCCGCACAAGCGGAGGAACAUGUGGUUUAAUUCGAUGAUACGCGAGGAACCUUACCCGGGCUUGAAAUGCAGAAGAAUAACGUUGAAAGAUGUUAGCCAGCAAUGGCUUCUGUGUAGGUGCUGCAUGGUUGUCGUCAGCUCGUGCCGUGAGGUGUCGGCUUAAGUGCCAUAACGAGCGCAACCCACAUUGUUAGUUACUAACAGGUCAAGCUGAGGACUCUAACAAGACUGCCGUCGUAAGAUGCGAGGAAGGUGUGGAUGACGUCAAAUCAGCACGGCCCUUACGUCCGGGGCGACACACGUGUUACAAUGGGUGGUACAAAGGGCAGCUACUUGGUGACAAGAUGCUAAUCUCCAAAGCCACUCCCAGUUCGGAUCGGAGUCUGCAACUCGACUCCGUGAAGCUGGAUUCGCUAGUAAUCGCGCAUCAGCCAUGGCGCGGUGAAUACCG
rnacentral:rRNA from 1 species